UACGUAGGGGCUAGCGUUAUCCGGAAUUACUGGGCGUAAAGGGUGCGUAGGCGGUCUUUCAAGCCAGAAGUGAAAGGCUACGGCUCAACCGUAGUAAGCUUUUGGAACUGUAAGACUUGAGUGCAGGAGAGGAGAGUGGAAUUCCUAGUGUAGCGGUGAAAUGCGUAGAUAUUAGGAGGAACACCAGUAGCGAAGGCGGCUCUCUGGACUGUAACUGACGCUGAGGCACAAAAGCGUGGGGAGCAAACAGGAUUAGAUACCCUGGUAGUCCCU
rnacentral:rRNA from 1 species